GAUGAAGAACGCAGCGAAAUGCGAUACGUAAUGUGAAUUGCAAAUUCAGUGAAUCAUCGAGUCUUUGAACGCACAUUGCGCCCCCUGGUAUUCCGGGGGGCAUGCCUGUCCGAGCGUCAUUGCUGCCCUCAAGCACGGCUUGUGUGUUGGGCCCCGUCCUCCGAUCCCGGGGGACGGGCCCGAAAGGCAGCGGCGGCACCGCGUCCGGUCCUCGAGCGUAUGGGGCUUUGUCACCCGCUCUGUAGGCCCGGCCGGCGCUUGCCGAUCAACCCAAAUUUUUUAUCCAGGUUGACCUCGGAUCAGGUAGGGAUACCCGCUGAACUUAAGCAUAUCAAUAAGCGGAGA
rnacentral:misc_RNA from 1 species